UACGGGGGGGGCAAGCGUUGUUCGGAAUUACUGGGCGUAAAGGGCUCGUAGGCGGCCAACUAAGUCGGACGUGAAAUCCCUCAGCUUAACUGGGGAACUGCGUGUGAUACUGGAUGGCUUGGAUUUGGGAGAGGGAUGCGGAAUUCCAGGUGUAGCGGUGAAAUGCGUAGAUAUCUGGAGGAACACCGGUGGCGAAGGCGGCAUCCUGGACCAAUAUUGACGCUGAGGAGCGAAAGCCAGGGGAGCAAACGGG
rnacentral:rRNA from 1 species